rnacentral:lncRNA from 1 species
ACGAUCUCUGCUCACCGCAACCCCACCUCCCGGGUUCAAGUGAUUCUCCUGCCUCAGCCUCCUGAGUAGCUGGGAUUACAGCUUGCACUUUCCAGUGACAAGAUUGCUGCAUUACGAAUGCCACUUUUAAGCCUGCAUCUAGAUGUAAAAGAAAAUGGUGAAGUAAAACCUUAUUCUAUUGAAAUGAGUAGAGAGGAGCUGCAGAAUCUAAUACAGUCCUUGGAAGCAGCGAAUAAGGUGGUCCUGCAGUUGAAAUAACUGGAAAUGAUGAAUACCAGUCCUAUCAGAUUUUAUUGCUCCAACUUAUAUGGCAGAGUGAAUACUGCGUGUUCAGAAACCUUGUGAUGUCUUGACUGUUGCACCAGGCUGAGAAAGCAGCAAUAUUGAUAUUAUAAAGAUAAAAAUUUAUCAACAUUCCUUAACAGGAAAUUACAUGGUUGAGAGGAAAUGCAUAAAAUGAAAGAUGAAAAAUCUAUAGUAGCAGUUUAUAUUUUCAUGAUUGUUUUGCCUCAUUUAUUAAAUAUUUGAGAAAUCUUUGGAGAUACAUAGUUUUAUUGAAAGCUAAAAAUAGGUUCUAAAGUAAUGUAAAAAUAUAAAGCACAAAUAUACUUGAAUAUUGCUUAAAGAAUUGUGUGAAUAGCAACAUAUAUUAUGGAUAUAUACUUUGUGAUAUUUUUAAAAAAUAAUUUUUUCAAAGAAUGUAUAAGCUGCAUAUAUAACUCAGGAGAUUCCAUGUCUUUCUCAUAUUUCAGAGGAAAGAUUAUAAAAUAUAAAAUUUCUUAGAGAACACCUCUUUGUCAGAGAUAAACAAGAACAAAUACUCUAAACUUAUGUGAACAGUUUUGAGUUUAUGAAUUCUAGAAACUAAAAUCAAGAAUACAGAAAAAUGAAAAUAACAUUUUACUUCUGCGCUUCUAUGUUUGGGAAACAUUGCUCUGAUAAAAAAUAGCUGUCAUUAUGCAGUGUGUAUAUUCAAAUAUGAGAUAAGACUAUGUACACAUCCACUUUUGUUAAUAAACUCAAUAUUGAAUACUUUGGGAUGUUAAAUUCAUUGGAAAAACAAACCAUUUGUAACCUCAGUUAACUUUAAC